GGUCACAUCACAUUGAAACAACGUUUCCCGUACGAUCACCGAAGUUAAGCAACGUCGAGCUAGGUCAGUAACUAAAUGCAUGGCCAUUUGGGAAUACCAGGUGCUGUAA